rnacentral:rRNA from 1 species
CGCCUCUUCUUGUAAAAGUCUUAGGAAUGUUUACUAUCACAAAGUCGCGACUUCUAGGAGACGCGAAUCUCUGAGACAAAAGUUAAUUACAACUUUCAGCAAUGGAUCUCUUGGCUCUCGCAUCGAUGAAGAACGCAGCGAAAAGCGAUAUGUAAUGUGAAUUGCAGAUCUACAGUGAAUCAUCNAAUCUUUGAACGCACCUUGCGCUCCUCGGUGUUCCGAGGAGCAUGCCUGUUUGAGUGUCAGUAAAUUCUCAACCCCUCUCGAUUUUUUUUCGAGGGGGAGCUUGGAUGGUGGGGGCUGCCGGAGACUAGGACUCGUCCUUGACUCGGGCUCUCCUUAAAUGCAUUGGCUCGCGGUCGACUUUCGACUUUGCGCGACAAGGCUUUCGGCGUGAUAAUGAUCGCCGUUCGCCGAAGCGCAUGAACGAACGUUCCGUGCCUCUAAUACCGUCGACGGCUUACUAUCUCUUCGGAGAGAAAAGCGUCUUCCUUCAUUGACUUUUGACCUCAAAUCAGUAGGACUACCCGCUGAACUUAAGCAUAUCAAUAACGGAGGA